ACGGGAAUCUCAUUGUUCAUGCACGAUGUUGGCUUUGAGUUGUGGCCCCCUCUGAGACAGGGCCACAGUCUGAUCUUCAGCUUCCCACGGCACUGUGGUUGGGGUCCGGCCUGGUCUCUCUAUUCCUUGAGACACAACAUACUGAAAUUAGGCCAAUUAAUAACCCUACAAUAAACUCUAAGUGUUGAAGAAAAUAAGUCAAUCUAAGUGACAAACUCCACUGUUGUCUUAUUUUACGAAAUUGCCACAACCAACCUGACCUUCAGCAACUGCCAUCUUAAUCAGUCAACAGCCAUCAACAAGAUAAUAAUGCUUCUGAGGUUUGGAUAAGUAACGAAGAGGAAGGAGAUCUCCUUCUAGUCCAUCCUGCUGCCGACAAUUAAGAAACCUCAAAGUAAUUUUUGAAAAUGUCAGCGUCUCAUUUAGCAAAAAGGAUAAAUAAUAAAUGAAGCGUAAUCAGUGUCCUGUGCUGGUGGUACAGCUUCGCGGUGUCAUUAGUAAACUAACGGUAUAAUAUCUUUGUGUCACAGUUUAAUUAUAUCUUGUAAUUAGUUUCAGCAAUGGAUUGCAUAGAGUCAGGCCCCCUGAGCUAAACAAAAGGUAAUAGAACUUUCAGCGCCCCUGCAUAAAUCAAUUAUGAAAGUG
ensembl:lncRNA